rnacentral:rRNA from 1 species
CCUACGGGAGGCAGCAGUGGGGAAUAUUGGUCAAUGGGCGCGAGCCUGAACCAGCCAAGUAGCGUGAAGGAUGACUGCCCUCCGGGUUGUAAACUUCUUUUAUAAGGGAGUAAAGUGCGGCACGUGUGCCUUUUUGUAUGUACUUUAUGAAUAAGGAUCGGCUAACUCCGUGCCAGCAGCCGCGGUAAUACGGAGGAUCCGAGCGUUAUCCGGAUUUAUUGGGUUUAAAGGGAGCGUAGAUGGGUUGUUAAGUCAGCUGUGAAAGUUUGCGGCUCAACCGUAAAAUUGCAGUGGAAACUGGGAGUCUUGAGUACAGUAGAGGUGAGCGGAAUUCGUGGUGUAGCGGUGAAAUGCUUAGAUAUCACGAAGAACUCCGAUGGCGAAGGCAGCUCACUGGA